CAUUUUCACUUCGUAUUAAAAUCCGAUCUGUGUGAUCUGAUCACAAGUGGACAGCUCUAAUUAGAGGUGUCUUCCCACCUUUCUCC